rnacentral:misc_RNA from 1 species
GUAGGUGAACCUGCGGAAGGAUCAUUACCAAAACAUACAUCUCAAUAUUCUUAUUCGUGAACGGUUAUGGGAUUUUUAUUUUUAUCAGUAGUUUAACAUAAUCUUGGAAGAUUAAUAUCGAUAGUGAUAUUAAUUGAUGAAAUUUUAUUUUAAAUUAUUUGAAAAAAGUAAAGAACCCAUUUCCAAUUCAAUAUGUUGUUCUUUACACUGAACACAUAUCAUCAAUCGCCUUUCUUUAAUUAGAGGGUGA